rnacentral:SRP_RNA from 1 species
AGGCAGGGAGGGUCGGGGUGCUAGCCGUACCCCAUAUCGGAAAUCGGCUUCAUGCCGGGACCAGCAACUGCCGGGUAAAUCCGUCGGGAGGAGGUACUCGCUUGCCUUGCUGAAAUGAAAUCACGCCGUGUCGGAUGGUUAUGAGUAGCGAUCUGCGCGAAGGCGUGGCGUCGACUAUGCAUCGUCGAAAUGGGUGAGGUCCGGGAGGGAGCAACCCUAAGGCGACGUAGCCAUGCUAGCACGUCUACGUGGUGGAUCUUGCAGGGCUUGAGAUGAGGCCUUUUGCCGACGGUGGUACCGGUAGUCUGCCU